GCGAGUCGACACAGCAAUGUGUGGCAUACGGCUCAGUAACACGUAGUCAACAUGCCCAGGGGACGUGGAUAACCUCGGGAAACUGAGGAUAAACCGCGAUAGGUCACUACUUCUGGAAUGGGUAAUGACCCAAACCUAUAUGGCCCCUGGAUUGGACUGCGGCCGAUCAGGCUGUUGGUGAGGUAAUGGCCCACCAAACCUGUAACCGGUACGGGCUCUGAGAGGAGGAGCCCGGAGAUGGGCACUGAGACAAGGGCCCAGGCCCUAUGGGGCGCAGCAGGCGCGAAACCUCUGCAAUAGGCGAAAGCUUGACAGGGUUACUCUGAGUGAUUUCCGUUAAGGAGAUCUUUUGGCACCUCUAAAAAUGGUGCAGAAUAAGGGGUGGGCAAGUCUGGUGUCAGCCGCCGCGGUAAUACCAGCACCCCGAGUGGUCGGGACGUUUAUUGGGCCUAAAGCAUCCGUAGCCGGUUCUACAAGUCUUCCGUUAAAUCCACCUGCUCAGCAGAUGGGCUGCGGAAGAUACUAUGGAGCUAGGAGGCGGGAGAGGCAAGCGGUACUCGAUGGGUAGGGGUAAAAUCCGUUGAUCCAUUGAAGACCACCAGUGGCGAAGGCGGCUUGCCAGAACGCGCUCGACGGUGAGGGAUGAAAGCUGGGGGAGCAAACCGGAUUAGAUACCCGGGUAGUCCCAGCUGUAAACGAUGCAGACUCGGUGAUGAGUUGGCUUUAUGCCAACUCAGUGCCGCAGGGAAGCCGUUAAGUUUGCCGCCUGGGGGAGUACGGUCGCAAGACUGAAACUUAAAGGAAUUGGCGGGGGAGCACCACAAGGGGUGAAGCCUGCGGUUCAAUUGGAUUCAACGCCGGG
rnacentral:rRNA from 1 species